GUUGUAUAGUCAAGUAAUUAAGUGCAUGUGGUGGAUGCCUUGGCAGUCAGAGGCGAUGAAAGACGUGAUAGCCUGCGAAAAGCUCCGGGGAGGCGGCAAAUAUCCUUUGAUCCGGAGAUGUCUGAAUGGGGGAACCCACCUACUUUAAGGUAGGUAUUGCAACAUGAAUACAUAGUGUUGCAAGGCGAACGAGGGGAAGUGAAACAUCUCAGUACCCUUAGGAAAAGAAAUCAAUUGAGAUUCCCUCAGUAGCGGCGAGCGAACGGGGAUCAGCCCAUUAAGUUAUGUGUGUUUUAGUGGAACGCUCUGGGAAGUGCGAACGUAGAGGGUGAUAUUCCCGUACACGAAAGGGCACACAUAAUGAUGACGAGUAGGGCGAGGCACGUGAAACCUUGUCUGAAUAUGGGGGGACCAUCCUCCAAGGCUAAAUACUCCUGACUGACCGAUAGUGAACCAGUACCGUGAGGGAAAGGCGAAAAGAACCCCUGUGAGGGGAGUGAAAUAGAUCCUGAAACCGCAUGCAUACAAGCAGUGGGAGCACCUUCGUGGUGUGACUGCGUACCUUUUGUAUAAUGGGUCAGCGACUUAUAUUCAGUAGCGAGGUUAACCGUAUAGGGGAGCCGUAGAGAAAUCGAGUCUUAAUAGGGCGUUUAGUUGCUGGGUAUAGACCCGAAACCAGGCGAUCUAUCCAUGAGCAGGUUGAAGGUUGGGUAACACUAACUGGAGGACCGAACCCACUGUCGUUGAAAAGCCAGGGGAUGACUUGUGGAUAGGGGUGAAAGGCUAAUCAAGCCUGGUGAUAGCUGGUUCUCCCCGAAAGCUAUUUAGGUAGCGCCUCGGACGAAUACCAUAGGGGGUAGAGCACUGUUUCGGCUAGGGGGUCAUCCCGACUUACCAAACCGAUGCAAACUCCGAAUACCUAUGAGUACUAUCCGGGAGACAGACUGCGGGUGCUAACGUCCGUAGUCAAGAGGAAAACAAUCCAGACCGCCAGCUAAGGCCCCAAAAUCAUAGUUAAGUGGGAAACGAUGUGGGAAGGCAUAGACAGCUAGGAGGUUGGCUUAGAAGCAGCCACCCUUUAAAGAAAGCGUAAUAGCUCACUAGUCGAGUCGGCCUGCGCGGAAGAUGUAACGGGGCUAAAACUAUGUGCCGAAGCUGCGGAUGUAUACUUUGUAUACGUGGUAGGGGAGCGUUCUGUAAGCCGAUGAAGGUGUGUUGAGAAGCAUGCUGGAGGUAUCAGAAGUGCGAAUGCUGACGUGAGUAACGACAAAACGGGUGAAAAACCCGUUCGCCGAAAGACCAAGGGUUCCAGUCCAACGUUAAUCGGGGCUGGGUGAGUCGACCCCUAAGGCGAGGCCGAAAGGCGUAGUCGAUGGGAAAAUGGUUAAUAUUCCAUUACUUCUGUGUAAUGCGAUGAGAGGACGGAGAAGGCUAAAUCAGCCUGGCGUUGGUUGUCCAGGUGAAAGGAUGUAGGCAUGUAUCUUAGGCAAAUCCGGGGUACUCUAUGCUGAGAUCUGAUAGCAAGCUGUACUUGUACAGCGAAGUGGUUGAUGCCAUGCUUCCAGGAAAAGUCUCUAAGCUUCAGUUACACAGGAAUCGUACCCGAAACCGACACAGGUGGUCAGGUCGAGUAGACCAAGGCGCUUGAGAGAACUCUGCUGAAGGAACUAGGCAAAAUGGUACCGUAACUUCGGGAGAAGGUACGCUGUUGUUGGUGAUGGAACUCGCUUCCUGAGCUGACGACAGCCGCAGAAACCAGGCCGCUGCAACUGUUUAUUAAAAACAUAGCACUCUGCAAACACGAAAGUGGACGUAUAGGGUGUGAUGCCUGCCCGGUGCUGGAAGGUUAAUUGAUGGGGUUAGCGUAAGCGAAGCUCUUGAUCGAAGCCCCAGUAAACGGCGGCCGUAACUAUAACGGUCCUAAGGUAGCGAAAUUCCUUGUCGGGUAAGUUCCGACCUGCACGAAUGGCAUAAUGAUGGCGGCGCUGUCUCCAGCAGAGGCUCAGUGAAAUCGAAAUCGCUGUGAAGAUGCAGUGUACCCGCGGCUAGACGGAAAGACCCCGUGAACCUUUACUGCAGCUUGACACUGAACUUUGACCUUACUUGUGUAGGA
rnacentral:rRNA from 1 species